rnacentral:lncRNA from 8 species
CAGAAAUACUCCUCAGUUUCAUCAGCUGUCUGGGUGGCUGGUAUCAGACUUUUUCCACCACUGCUGAAAGGGCUAUAACAUAUUUAGAUAGGAUUCUGCAAGUCAUCAUGGCUACAGACAAGUACGGCCAAAAGAUGGGCUGACACCAACAAACUCCACUAAAACAAUGGGCGUAAUGGAAACAGGUUGUCUUUGUCCCUUUUCCCGCAUGGUGUUCCCUCUGGUUUCUGUUAUGUGUUUUCCCUCUCUUUCUUUCCCUGUAACUCUCUCUCUCUCUCUCUCUCUCUCUCUCUCUCUCUCUCUCUCUCUCUCUCUCUCUCUCUCUCUCUCUCUCUCUCUCUCUCUCUCUCACAGAACCUGUUUCUGCUGUGAGACUGGUGGCCAACAACUUUUGGAAUUCAAAAGUGCUGUCAGUCUGUUUUGCUCUUUCUCUGGCUCCUCCCUCUUUUACCGCUGGCUGAAUGGCAACUCAGAAGUCACAGCCAGUAAUGGUAUUCAGCUUAGUGAUGGGAACAGUACUCUCACCAUAGUCAAUGUGACUCGAUACAACGAUGGGCCUUUUAGCUGUGAUGCUUUCAACGCCGUCAGUACUGGAACCACUGAGCCUCUACAUCUCAAUAUCAGCUAUGGUCCAGACGGUGUGUCCUUCACAGUCUUCAACAACAGAACCAUGAGAUACAGCAACGUCACCAGACAGAUCACCAUCAGCAGUGGGUCAGUGUCGGUACAGUUGGCGAUCAAUGGCAAGAAAUGCAUUCAGUAGAGUGAAUCCAUAAAAUAUAUUUAUUUAAACACUAAUUUUAUGUACGUAGUGCCAUGGUCCAGGGCAAUGUGAAUACAUAAUGUAAUAGACUAAAACAAAAAAAAAUGUAGUUUUAUAUUAGGGUGAAAUAAUGUCAUGUUUAUUGAUAAAACCGAACAUGUUCUUUCUUGUUCAAUGCCAGACCACAGUGUACUUGCUGUGAUAAAAGGAGAAUGGCUAUAUUAUCAGGAGUGUUCCCACUGGCUUGAAAUAUAUAGAAAGAGAAAAUACAUUGCACCAUAUUCAACUGUUUAAAUGAACUCAGCUAAAAAAGAAAUGUCCUCUCUCUGUCAAUUGUGUUUAUUUUCAACAAAAAGAAAACUUAAAAUAAAUAUUUGUAUGAAGAUAACAGGAUUUAACAACUAAGACAUAAACUGAACAACUUCCACAGACAUGUGACUAACAGGAAUGGAAUAAUGUGUCCCUGAACAAAGGGGGAGUCAAAAUUAAAUGUAACAGUCAGUAUCUGGUGUGGCCACCAGCUGCAUUAAGUACUGCAGUGCAUCUCCUUUGCCAGUUCUUGCUGUGAGAUGUUACCACACUCAUCCACCAAGGCACCUGCAAGUUCCCGGACAUUUCUGGGGGGAAUGGCCCAAUCCAACAGGUCCCAGACGUGCUCAAUAGGAUUGCGAUCCGGGAUCUUCGCUGGCAGAACGCUGACAUACCUGUCUUGCAGGAAAUCACGCACAGAACGAGCAGUAUGGCUGGU